rnacentral:rRNA from 1 species
AUGAACGCUAGCGGCAGGCUUAACACAUGCAAGUCGAGGGGCAGCACGGGUAGCAAUACCUGGUGGCGACCGGCGCAAGGGUGCGUAACGCGUGAGCAACAUGCCCUAUACAGGGGGAUAAUCCAGGGAAACUUGGUCUAAUAUCCCAUAGCAUUUAGAGGAGGCAUCUUCACUAAAUUAAAGCUUCGGUGGUAUAGGAUUGGCUCGCGUGACAUUAGCUAGAUGGUGAGGUAACGGCCCACCAUGGCUAUGAUGUCUAGGGGUUCUGAGAGGAAGACCCCCCACACUGGGACUGAGACACGGCCCAGACUCCUACGGGAGGCAGCAGUGAGGAAUAUUGGACAAGUGGAUGGAAAUCUGAUCCAGCCAUGCCGCGUGCAGGAAGACGGCCCUAUGGGUUGUAAACUGCUUUUAUAUGGGAGCAAUAAGGUUUACGAGUAGACCGAUGAGAGUACCAUAUGAAUAAGCAUCGGCUAACUCCGUG